AACGCACAUUGCGCCUCCUGGUAUUCCGGGAGGCACGCCUGUUCGAGCGCCAUUUCGACCUCCAAGCUUUGCUUGAUGUUGGACGAUGUCUGAGCGACACGUCUGGAACGUAUCGGCGUCCGGCGUCGACCGCGAGCGUAGCAAAUGUUGUCGCUGCGUGUGUCGGCCCCGGUACGCCUGUCCGUGCGUCUUGGACGCAUACCAAAAGGUUGGCCUCGGAUCAGGUGGGGAUACCCGCUGAACUUAA
rnacentral:misc_RNA from 1 species